GGUGUCAGCCCUUCAACUCCUUUGAUGUUGCCAUCCAAUAACUCUGCUGUCAUCACAAAAACUAUUACCAGAACAUUUCCUUUAAAGCAGAAAAGGCACUUAGUCAAUGUUAAGGCCCAUCAUCUGCAAAAUAUCAACAAGCAAUCAAAAAGUACAAAAGAUCUGGAGAUCCAAAUGCUGCAGCUGGAGUGCGAAGAACUCAAAAAUCGACUACGAUGCUUAAGGGAAGGCCUGAUGGGGCAGAAGCUGAGCAACACAGAAGAGCUACUGAAACAAUCUCAGAAAGAACUGUUGUGCCUUCAGAGACAACUAUCACUUAUCUCCACAGGAAGCCCCAUGUGUGUUUUCGCAGCUAACAAGUUUGGAAAUGAUCCAUCAUGCCUGCAGUCUGCAACUUCAGCAUGCACAUCUGAUCAGGUUGAGUUUAUAGAAGAGACCCAGAUUUCUAAGUCUCAUGUCUCCACAUUAAAUCAAGAGUAUCAUCACUGGCUGUUUUCAGUAAGUUCUGUCUCUUUCUCUUCCUUGCAUGAGUUCUAGCAACAGGGGGUUGGAGAUCUUUUGAGGCAGAUAGUUGAGGGAAGGAGGGUUUAGCUCCACCAUCUUUAUAGCAUUAGAUGUUGUAUUGAUAUAUAGAAAAUAUAAGUAAUAUAAAUGUGUGAUUAGGAUAUAAUUUUAAAUUUGAAAGGAGAAUUUAACGAAGGAAAAUGUGAUAUAAAUAGGAAUUGGAGUGCUCUGUUCUGUAUACAUGUACACAAAAUUACAGGAUCCAAUGCUGGAGGGUUGUGUUCAGAACAGCCCGGUCUGUUCUGGCAUAUACAUAUGUAUGGACACUUGAUUCUGAAUAUCAGCAGAUUUUUCCGACUGGACUUCUGUGUGCUUGCAUGUGUUCUAAUUUUCAAGCACCUUUUGCAGUUAAAGCACAAAAAAACAUUUCAGAGGUUCUUUGGAUAUAGUAACUAUAGGAUUGUGUUGGUGUAGUGGCUCAAAUACAGGGCCUUGGUUUCUUUUCAGAUAAAAUAUUACUACGUAAGUACAAACAUCUUUGAAUACAU
rnacentral:lncRNA from 1 species